CCUACGGGGGGCUGCAGUGAGGAAUAUUGGUCAAUGGGCGCGAGCCUGAACCAGCCAAGUAGCGUGAAGGAUGACUGCCCUACGGGUUGUAAACUUCUUUUAUAAAGGAAUAAAGUGAGGCACGUGUCCCUUUUUGUAUGUACUUUAUGAAUAAGGAUCGGCUAACUCCGUGACAGCAGCCGCGGUAAUACGGAGGAUCCGAGCGUUAUCCGGAUUUAUUGGGUUUAACGGGAGCGUAGAUGGGUUGUUAAGUCAGAUGUGAAAGUUUGCGGCUCAACCGUGAAAUUGCAAUUGAUACUGGCAGACUUGAGUGCAGUUGAGGUAGGCGGAAUUCGUGGUGUAGCGGUGAAAUGCUUAGAUAUAACGAAGAACUCCGAUGGCGAAGGCAGCUUACUAAUCUGCCACUGACAUUGAUGCUCGAAAGUGUGGGGAUCAAACAGGAUUAGAUACCCUGGUAGUC
rnacentral:rRNA from 1 species